AUGCAAACUCGAUCACUCGCUCUGCAUGAUGUGGCAGGAGCUAAGGGAACCAGGUUUGCUAAAGUAAUAGUGGUGACAGAAUGUACUAGCCUCAGAAGCUCCUGAGGUGCCCUUUCUAUCCUCACACAGUG
ensembl:snoRNA SNORA66 Small nucleolar RNA SNORA66